rnacentral:rRNA from 1 species
UUUCUAAAGCUAAAUAUUGCCCAGAGACCGAUAGCGCACAAGUAGAGUGAUCGAAAGAUGAAAAGCACCUUGAAAAGGGGGUUAAACAGUACGUGAAAUUGUUGAAAGGGAAGCGCUCAUGACCAGACUUGUGCUGGGCAGCUCAUCCGGGGUUCUCCCCGGUGCAUUCUGCCCAGUUCAGGCCAGCAUCGAUUUUUGCUGGGGGAUAAGAACGGUAGGAACGUGGCCCUCCUUCGGGAGGGUGUUAUAGCCUACCGUACGAUACCCUAGCGGAGAUCGAGGUUCGCGCAUCUGCAAGGAUGCUGGCGUAAUGGUCAUCAGCGACCCGUCUUGAAACACGGACCAAGGAGUCGUCCAUUAGAGCGAGCGUUUGGGUGUAAAACCCGCACGCGUAAUGAAAGUGAAAUUAGGUGAGAGCUUCGGCGCAUCAUCGACCGAUCCUGAUGUUCUCGGAUGGAUUUGAGUAAGAGUUUUAACGGACGGACCCGAAAGACAGUGAACUAUGCUUGUAUAGGGUGAAGCCAGAGGAAACUCUGGUGGAGGCUCGCAGCGGUUCUGACGUGCAAAUCGAUCGUCAAAUAUGAGCAUGGGGGCGAAAGACUAAUCGAACUGUCUAGUAGCUGGUUACCGCCGAAGUUUCCCUCAGGAUAGCAGUGUUGACCUUCAGUUUUAUGAGGUAAAGCGAAUGAUUAGGGACUCGGGGGCGCUUUUUAGCCUUCAUCCAUUCUCAAACUUUAAAUAUGUAAGAAGCCCUUGUUACUUAGUUGAACGUGGGCAUUCGAAUGUAUCAACACUAGUGGGCCAUUUUUGGUAAGCAGAACUGGCGAUGCGGGAUGAACCGAACGCGGGGUUAAGGCGCCAGAGUGUACGCUCAUCAGACACCACAAAAGGCGUUAGUACAUCUUGACAGCAGGACGGUGGCCAUGGAAGUCGGAAUCCGCUAAGGACUGUGUAACAACUCACCUGCCGAAUGUACUAGCCCUGAAAAUGGAUGGCGCUCAAGCGUACCGCCCAUACCCCGCCCUCAGGGUAGAA